CUCUCGAAGUAUGUAGUAUUUGUGGUAUGAGGCAUAGUGAUAUUGCCUUCUCUCUCAUCCUACUCUAAUAAGGUUUUGAUAUCUGGAGCUCAUAGGUGGGAGACAGCUAAUACAUACUUACAAGACAUUUAUUGCAUAGUCAAACCAUGGAUCCAGAGAAACAAGUCAAUAAGUCAACUCAAGAUGUGCAUGUGUGGCGAAUGAAUGGUGUAUGGUGAUGAUGGUGAAAACAAUGGUGAAAGUCUAAUUCUACUUGUGCUCUUUUGAGGGGAUACAUACCUUUCUUGCUCUUUGAAACUUUUGAGGAGAAUGAGAUGCUCUACAUUUUCUUUUUCUUUCCUCUCAGGUGGGUAUCUUGUACCCCUAAUUCUACUGUCGGACACUUGUCCAUUUUUACCUCUCGUCUCACUUUUUCUUUUCUUCGAGGUUCCGGGCACUUGACCCUUUUUAUUUUCUCGUAUUUUUUUCAGAGCACUCACCCUCGUGGAAUAAUGUAGCAAGUGGUAGUAUCCAAAAUAUCUCGAGCAUUUAUUUCACGGGGAAUAACAGGGGUAGGAUAAUGUUUUUGCCUAUUCUCUCGUAGAUAGGAGUAGAAUAAUUUUGGGUGAAUCUGGAGAUGGAAAUGAGUGGAUGUAUGUGGAUGCGUACUUCCAGAGUAGAAGCAGCAUGUAUGAGUGAACGUGCAAGUGAAUCUUGAUUUUAACCGCAUGACAAGCUGCUAAGGGUCUACACAGCUUGACCACACUCAAUGCUCAUAAGCAGUAAAAAGUAAAUAUAUGGUUCAUAGUCUAAUAAGCAUGUAUAUAUGGCUGUGGCAGGAUUUUAAACUCUCAUCAUACAAGAACUCAUCAUGCAACAUUUUAAAGAUUUUCAAAGAUAAAAUUCUCCAGAAUUCUAGCAUCUCUAGGAACAGAUAAACAACAGCUCAACCUUCCCAUAUCAUAUUCGUUAACGACUUAGACUUUAGAUAAAGUACUCUUCCCACAAGUUCUGGUUUAGAGCAAAUCUUAAUUCAUAACAGUCAUGCCUAAACUUGAGAGAGAAUUUAAUUUUAAGAACUAGUCAUGGCAGAGCAACUAUUCAUCAUUUCUAUGUGAGAGCUUAUCAUGAGGGUUCAUAGCAAACUUUAUUUAUUUAUUUAUUUAUUUAUUUAGCAAACUAAGCAAAGAUAUAUAUAUAAGCACAAAAAUCUUUAUUUGGGUUUUUAUGAUUAUGCAUCUUUUUAUUAUUUGAGUAAAGUAUAAACGCGAGUAGAAACACAUAGCUGGAUAAAUGGGGGUGCUCUCCCCCAAGCUGGAUUUUGACGUAAUUUCUUCUGAUAUAGCUAGCAGGUGGCGGAGGUGUAUUUGAAUGUCGGCAGCACCCUGACAGUGAUUAGGAUGUCCUCCGUCUGCUAGUCUUCUUUGAUCCUUGAAUUCUGUGGAGCUCAAAUAGACAACAAAGCUUUGUGGAACUGGUUAAGUGUUAGCAUAAAAUCUCUUAGCCGUUAUCAUGUUGAGCUUCCUCUAAUAAAUAUUACUCUCUUUGGUAGGAUCAUAAAUUUAUUUUUAUCUUUUCAUUUUUAUAGGACAGGAAUAUUUUUAUUUUUACGCCACCAUAGUGAAUGUACUUAUGGGUUUUAUGCCACGAGAAUACUCACAUAGGGCUUACUGUUUUUAACAUUUUUAAUUUAUUUUCAAGAUAGCAUGAUUAACUAACAAGCUAUUUAGGGAAAGUAAACAAUUUAAGGGAAAAGGAAUGCAGAAAGGAUAAAUAUGGAUAACUACCGAUUUUCCUUUCGUCGAGGGUUCAAUGUUUUAAGUCUUCUGAACAAGACUUCUCACCAUGUUCAUUCUUUUGUUGCAUCAUUUGAUUCAGGUGUGGACCUUGACGUCUGGACCUCUUGAUAUGGUGUCACCCAUGUUCUUCGUUUGCCCAGCAGUUCGAAGUGCGGCGUUGGCAGUAUCUUGCUCAGUGUGUUCGUGCUCGUAGAUCCAGGUCCUUCACUUGGUGGAAUCUGGGAGUUGUAAAACUCCACCAUGUUUUGCUCCAAGUGUACCUGCUCAUAGAGACAAGGCAGAGAUCAAGUGCAUGGGCCCUGUUGGUGGAAAACACCAACAGAACCAAAAGUGUAUUUAUUCUUCUCUAACCUUAAGCAUAGUGAGCAAGACAAAGUUGAUGGGUGAUAAGUUCAUGAGUUUAGCAUUUAAAACAAUUGUCAGAUCAGAUCGCUCAACCUUAUGGAAAGAUAAUCUAUCUAUGUAUAUGUCUUUUUCUUUAUAUCUUCCCAAAGAUUGAAUGUGCAACAUUUUAGCUCAUAUUAUUAGGAGUGUGGGAUCACAAAGGUGGAAGGACUAAACAUGUUGAAUCGAUUGGGUUGGUUAAUCUAGAGUUGUAAAUCAUACAUGUUUCUCUCUUUUAUUCAUGUGAACGCCAGAACCAAGGAGAAGCUUAUAGAAGUGAUAGUCAAGUACCUUAAGAUGUUACCUUACUUGAAGAGUGAUGGUACAGUAUCACCUUGUGCAAGAUUUCCUCUCUUAGCGGUUGUGCAUCGUGUUUGUGGCACCCUCCAUGAAUCAUCUCUUGUGAGCUAUGCCUUCCUUGUGUAAAUUGUUAAACUUCAUGUGUCUCUCUCUUUGUCUCCAAUGCGAGUUUAUCUCAGGACUUCCCAAGUUGAUGUUGAAAGUUUUUUUUUUCUGCAGGGGUUAGUCUGACAAAAUAUACCAAUGUCUACACAAGCAGUUUUUAGUUCAAUAACCAAACUAGACUCCAUGUCUAAUUAGAUUAAGAAAGGCUGUUUAACCUAAGCACUAUGCUUAAUUUAAAAACCAAUAGAAGUAUGUACAGUACUUCCAAACUAACACUUACUAGGAUAAAUAAAGGUAGCGUGACGGCUUUUAUAGAGAUCUACUCAAGUGGAGAUGAAGUAGUGUGAUUAGUAUUUGACAAAUUGAGCAUGUCUAAAGGUAGGGACAACCAACAUAGCAACAUGGCAAAGGAUGUUUCUAUGUAAAGUACUCCCCCAAGCUUGAAUUUUGCAAAAUUCAAGUUUGGAUUUAAUUCAAUGUUGUAUGAUGAUUGGUUGGACAUACCUUGUGCUUGUCAUUCAUCCAAUCUUCUUGUUCCAAUCCUGGAAAGGUUAGUGACAAGAAUACCCGAAGGAAUAUUUUUACAAUUAUCCUUAUAUGCUCAAUACACAAGGUAAUGUUGUAAUUAAUUAAAAGCUUGUUGGGUAUUUUAAACGCAAACAGAAAAAUCCGCAAGCGCACGGAUACCGAUGUAGCUUUCACCCGGGAGUAUUCCAGAGUAUCGAUUUUCCACAGAGAAUGUGAGUGUACUAAUUAAGAUCCAAGAUCGCCCAAGGAUAACUAUAUAAUUAUUUUUGGUGGGAAGAGAGAAAGUUUCCUGAGAGUUCUCUAGUUGAUCUAAGAAUCAAGAAUUACUUCAAGAUUAUCUAUAUAGGGACAUCAGAGCACUAACCACAGAAAGAGAUGAGAAGGGGGCUAGGAAGGUCUGACUACGGUCCUACAAACACCGAUCCGAACGUGGUGGAAUACGUCGACCGUUAGGGCUGUCACUACCCUAAGGCUACCACAACAAUCCGCAGGAUUGGGUGCAAUUCCAGGUAAUCGCAAGACUAAACACCACGUCUAAUCUAUUAAUUACUACUCUAGCGUUAUAAAGACUAGAGCACUUGAUGCAAGCGGGAAUCCAAUAAAUAACUUGAAUGUAAAUAAAAGUAAUUAAAGAACUUAGGAAUUAUGAAUUGAAGAACCUGGAGAACGAUGAAGAACGAACCAGAUGCUGCAAAAAUAUAAUGUUGAGGAAGAUCCGACAGAUCCGGCUCCUCCUCCGCUCUCCUCUUCUCUCUCCCUAUUUUCUAGAUUACAACUAGAACUAACUAGAACUAGAACUAGAGGAACUAGAACUAGAACUAGAUGAACUAGAACUAGAUCUAGAUGAACUAGAGGUAGAACUAGAAGAACUAGAGGGAUCCUCUCUACUUGGAUGAAGAAUUGAAACCCUAACUUUGAUUCUGUAGAAGAGGUAUGAUCUCCAGGGGCCAGGGGGGUCUGGUUUUAUAGUCCCUUCAAAUGAAUCUGGGCCGUCGGAUCAAACCGACAUUGAUCGUGUGGUUUUCCUUGAAGUAUUAGGUCGGUGGAGCAUGAUCCCCGAACUUCACCCUGAUUGGUCCAGGGGGGAGGGCGGGCGCCCUCAGGACUAGGCCGGGCGCCCUGUCCCUGAGGCCUCUCGGCUUCCGCUUUGUUCCCGUGGCUUCUGGAGUCUUCUAGAUAAUAGAAAAUUGCGCGGCACGUUAAUAUCUCUAUGUAAACCCGACGUGUGGGCCUUUCUUCCGUAUUUCCUGAUAACCCCCUGCAGAAAUAGACAAACACCAAAACUUGUGGAAUUCUGUCAGAUAAAACCCUAAGUCUAGGUGUUAGUUGCAUUUGGAUCCUUUUCUAUGAUUAGUUGAUGGUUAAAUGUGAGCAUUAAGGACCGUCAACAAGCUCCCCCAAGCUUAACCUUUGCUCGUCCCUGAGCAAAGAUGAACUCAAGAGUUUCUGCAGUGGUUCCAUGCCUUAAAGAUAUACAUGCAUUCACACAAGAUUUUAUCUCUAAGUUAGAGUAAACUGUUAAGACUUAAAACUUACUCAUUUACCUUUCACCAUGGGGCUUGCGACCAUCACCUGUGUCUUGAGCAGUUAAAAGAUAGAACGGUCUAGUCAAGCGCCAUGUCUCAUGUUCUUGAUCAACUAUAGCUCUGGAGUUUUUGCAGAUUUUCAAAUAAAACUCAGAGAUUCCUUAUAUGACUCUCUCUAGUCUCUCUUUUGUGGUAUUUCUGGAUCCUUACCAAGGCAGUAAAGGUGUAUGCCUUCUCUCAAAGUAUGUGGUAUUUGUAGUAUGAAGCAUAGUGGCAUUGCCUUCUCUCUCACCCUAAUCUAAUAAGGUUUUGAUAUCUGGAGCUCAUAGGUGGGAGACAGCUAAUACAUACUUACAAGACAUUUAUUGCAUAGUCAAACCAUGGAUCCAGAAGAACAAGUCAAUAAGUCAAAUCAAGAUGUGCAUGUGUGGCGAAUGAAUGGUGUAUGGUGAUGAUGGUGAUAACAAUGGUGAACGUCUAAUUCUACUUGUGCUCUUUUGAAGGGAUACAUACCUUUCUUGCUCUUUUGAAACUUUUUGAGGAGAAUGAGAUGCUCUAUGUUUUCUUUUUCUUUUCUCUCAGGUGGGUAUCUUGUACCCCUAAUUCUACUAUCGGACACUUGUCCAUUUUUACCUCUCGUCUCACUUUUUCUUUUCUUCGAGGUUCCGGGCACUUGCCCCUUUUUAUUUCCUCGUAUAUAUAUUUUUUUUCUUUUUUUUUCUUUUUUUAGAGCACUCAUCUCAUGAGAUAAUAUAGCAAGUGGUAGUAACAAGAUAACUUGAGCAUUUAUUUCACAGGGGAAAAACAGGAAUAUUUUUGGCUAUUCUCUCCCGGAUUAGGAGUAGAAUAUUUUUGGGUGGUUCUGGAGAUGGAAAUGGAUGGAUAUAUGUGGAUGCGUACUUCCGGAGUAGAAGCAGCAUGUAUGAGUGAACGUGCAAGUGAAUCUUGAUUUAACCACAUGACAAGCUCCUAAGGGUCUACAAAGCUUGACCACACUCAAUGCUCAUGAGCAGUAAAAAGUAAAUGUGUGGCUCAAAGUCUAGCAAGCAUGUAUAUAUGGCUGUGGUAGGAAUUUAAACUCUCAUCAUAUAGGAACUCAUCAUGCAACAAUUUAAAGAUUUUCAAAGAUAAAAUUCUCCAGAAUUCUAGCAUCUCUAGGAACAGAUAAACAGCAGCUCAACCUUCCCAUAUCGUAUCCGUUAACGACUUAGACUUUAGAUCAAGUACUCUCCCCACAAGUUCAGGUUUAGAGCAAAUCUUAAUUAAUAACAGUCAUGCUUAAACUUAAGAGAGGUUUCAAUUUUUAGAACUAAUCAUGGCAGAGCAACUAUUCAUCAUUUCCAUGUGAGAGCUUAUCAUGAGGGUUCAUAGCAAACUUUAUUUAUUUAUUUAGCAAACUAAGCAAAGAUAUAUAUAUAUAUAUAUAAGCACAAAAUCUUUAUUUGGGUUUUUAUGAUUAUGCAUCUUUUUAUUAUUUGAGUAAAGUAUAAAGAUGAGUAGAACACUUAGCUGGAUAAAUGGGGGUGCUCUCCCCCAAGCUGGAUUUUGACGAAUUUUCUUCUGAUGUAGCUAGCAGGUGGCGGAGGUGUAUUUGAAUGUCGGCAGCACUCUGACAGCGAUUAGGAUGUCCUCUGCUAGUCUUCUUUGAUCCUUGAAUUCUGUGGAGCUCAAAUAGACAACAAAGCUUUGUGGAACUGGUUAAGUGUUAGCAUAAAUAUCUAGCCUUUAUCAUGUUGAGCCUCCUCAAUAAAUGUUACACUCUUUUUAGUAGGAUCACAAUCUUAUUUUUAUAUUUUUAUUUUUAUAGGACAAGAAUAUAUUUAUUUUAUUUUUAUGCCACCACAGUGAAUGUACUUAUGGGUUUUAUGCCAUGAGCAUACUUACAUGGGGCUUACUUAACAUUUUUAUUUUCUUUUCAAGAUGAUAUGAACCUGAUUAACUAACCAAACUAUUUUAAAUAAUUGAAAGGAAAAAGAUAACUACCAAGUUUACCUUUUGGCAAGGCGUUCGGUGUUUUUACAUCCUCCGAACGGGACUCUCCGUUUUCUUAGUCGUCCUGGGAUUCGCUGGAUGGCGUAGUCGGUGGUUCCGGCGGUGCCUGCUCUUCGUGUAUAACUAUCUUCUCUCUCUACACCUGCCUCGGUGCUACGGUCUCCUCAGGACAGUUCUGUUCAAGUUGUAUGUCUUCAGACCUUACAACUUCUCCUUCGUAGUCUGCCCAUCCAUCCUUGAUGAUUUGCCUCCUCUGGUUGCGGUUGCGUCGUCUUCUUUUUGUCCUGACCUGCUUAGAGUCUUCAACUAUAUAGUUAGGGUCAGUAAAAUAGUGGCGUACCUUCUCUGAGGGGAAGUGCAUGUGGACUUCUGUGGUUCCAAUGUAUAUGAUUGCUUUAAUGGUGCCAAAGAACGGUCUUCCAAGGAUGAUGGGUGGAUCGUACUCGUCUUCUCCCAUGUCAAUAACCUUCAAUCUUUCAGAAUGUCUGAUCUGUCAUCUGGAGCUGAAUGUAUGUUGGUUGUAGGGACAUGGUUCCAUGCAGGAGCUGAUAAGUGACUGCGGCCAUUAUGUUGACGUUAGAUCCGGUGUCGUAGAGUGUCUUCUGAAAAGAAUAUCUGUUGAUUGUGCACUCGAUGCUUGGGACACCAGGGUCGUCCUUCUUGAUCAAGAAAGGUGACUUGAGUUGACGAUCUUGACCUCCUUGAGCUGCAGGGACCAUCUUAGCUGACUCGGUACACAUUUGCUUGUUCCUAUUCCUCCUGUUGGUCCUCUUCCUUGGUUCAUGUCGGGAUUGCUCUGAGAUUUGUAUAGUCUUGUUCUUGAAGGAAAACAUCUCCUUCCUUCCCUUGAUGUAGAAACUGAUCUUGGCAGCACUAGCGUAGAUGAUAGCUCCCGAGGUGUUCAGGAAUGGCCUCCCUAGAAUGAUGGGUGCCCUCUCAUCAGUACCAGUCUCUAUCACUAAGAAGUCUGCUGGGACGUACAAGGUACCAACUCGGACGUAGAGGUUCUUCAAUAUUCCCCUAGGCAUAAUGUUGACGCUCGAGCCAAAGUUGUAGAGUGCUUCUAGGAAGUCCACCAUGCCGAUGGAGAUCGGGAUGACGGGGCGUCCUGGAUUGUCUCUCUUGACCGGCAGAAGGUCAGUAAUUACUUCCACAACGGGGUUACUCCAGUAGUUACGUCCUCAAGCAUCUCAGGGCAGUGAUUGCCUGAGUAACCAGUAUCUCUAGUGUGUUUGUGCUCGUAGAUCUAGGUUCUUCACUUGGUGGAGUCUGGGAGUUAUAAAAGUCCUUCAUAUUUUGCUCGAAGUGUACCUGCUCAUAGAGACAAGGCAGAGAUCAAGUGCAUGGGCCCUGUUGGUGGAAAACACCAACAGAACCAAAAGUGUAUUUGUUCUUCUCUAACCUUAAGCAUAGUGAGCAAGACAAAGUUGAUGGAUAAUAAGAUCAUGAGUAUAACAUUUAAAACAUUUGUCAGAUUAGAUUGCUCAACCUUAUGGAAAGAUAAUCUAUAUAUAUAUAUAUGUUUUGUUUAUAUCUUCCAAAGAUUGAGUGUGCAACAUUUUAGCUAAUAUGAUUAGGAGUGUGGAAUCACAAAGGUGGAAGGACUAAACAUGUUGAAUCGAUUGGGUUGG
rnacentral:lncRNA from 1 species